GAGAAAGAGAAUGAGUGAGGGAAACUUGCUUUCCAGAGAAAACACUUUCUAUGGUCUGUGCUUUAGGCUGUCAGCAAUAGUAAAGAUUAAUGACAAUAGCCAGUAUCUCUUUCCUGGGCUUCACAAAUGCGAACCCUCCAUCUCGAUCGCUUUCUCCCACCAACAAGCAGCACCCCAGGUGGUCUGCACAACACAGAACCUGCAAAGGCGCUUCCAAAACCAUGUGGUCAGGCAGCCUGAUUCUGGGAAGUGUGGACAGGUCACUCAGCUUGCA
ensembl:lncRNA